CCUGAAGUUACGGUGCGACAUGUUUAUGCUGGACAGACGGAUAGAUAGACGGACAGACGGACGGACCGAAUGACUGAUAGAUGGAGGAACGGACGGAUGGAAGGACGGACGGACAGACGGGCGUAUACAAUAAUACGUCCUGUCAAAAUUGGGACGGGCGUGUAAAAACGCAAAGAAAUGAAAAAAAACUCGUAAUUAAAGGUCAAUAAGUUUUAUU
rnacentral:lncRNA from 1 species